rnacentral:rRNA from 1 species
CCCACCAAGGCGACGAUCAGUAGCCGGCCUGAGAGGGUGAACGGCCACAUUGGGACUGAGACACGGCCCAAACUCCUACGGGAGGCAGCAGUGGGGAAUAUUGCACAAUGGGGGAAACCCUGAUGCAGCAACGCCGCGUGAGUGAAGAAGUCAUUCGUGAUGUAAAGCUCUAUCAGCAGGGAAGAAAAUGACGGUACCUGAGUAAGAAGCCCCGGCUAACUACGUGCCAGCAGCCGCGGUAAUACGUAGGGGGCAAGCGUUAUCCGGAUUUACUGGGUGUAAAGGGAGCGUAGACGGCCAGACAAGUCUGAAGUGAAAAUCCAGCGCUUAACGUUGGAAGUGCUUUGGAAACUGCCGGGCUGGAGUGCAGGAGGGGCAGGCGGAAUUCCUAGUGUAGCGGUGAAAUGCGUAGAUAUUAGGAGGAACACCAGUGGCGAAGGCGGCCUGCUGGACUGCAACUGACGUUGAGGCUCGAAGGCGUGGGGAGCAAACAGGAUUAGAUACCCUGGUAGUCCACGCGGUAAACGAUGAUUACUAG